AUGUGUGGAGUUCACUUUUCCAAGGUGUUGGAGGGGGGGUGGUGUAUUGGACAGGCCAGAGAGGGCCCAUCUACAGGUGGUUCAUCGCCCCUUGAGUCAUCAUCUCCCCAACACCCAACCCAGCGUCCAGGCGCACCCUUGCUCAUUGCCCUACAACUCCGUCAACCUCCACCCCAUCUUCUCGACCCAGCUCCAAUGGCCGGAAGAGGAAGACAGCUGAGGAUCCUUUGGACACUGACAUUAUGGAUGACUUAAAGAAAUGGGAGGCACAGGAACAGAAUCAGUGGCAAGCAAAGGCUGUCUACGACAUCAUGGUACCAUGGAUGGUGUCUAUUCCUGCUGAUCAAAGUCUCCCGUUUGUCUCACACCAAAAACUGUUGUAUGAAUAAGAAAACAAAGCACACAACAUUAGGGUGGUGGGUAAUUUAGUCAUAUUUUUUGGCAUGUUUUUUAUAUUUAUUUCCUCAUUCACGUUACCGAUGUUUUACUUAGAUUUUUCUCUUAUUUCCACUUUUAACACACUUCACCUGUGAUUAGUAAAUAUCUAAAAGGUCUGCAAGUCUAUUUGUUUGGUUAUUUGUACUUGUGGCAGAAAAUAUUACUGUUUUGAAUCAGUCACUCACAGUAAAGUUGUACUGCUGUGUGCAUGAGCUAUGUAGAUGAGGUUAAUGUCUUGGGGGGGGUCUGUCCGUCCGUCCGUCCUUAUUGUCUACAGCUGGACACUCGCCCAUGUACCAAAGCAGGAAGGUUUCCAAUGAAAUACCACUACACAUUACCAUGUACAACCUUGUGUUAAGUAGAUGAGGUUAAUGUCUCGAGGGUCUAGCCUUAUUGUGUACAGCUGGAAGAGCCAUUCUCACCCAUUUACCAUAGGAGGAAAUGUUUUAUUGAAAGGACACUACACAUACCACAAUGUUCUGUAAAUGUUGAGGGUCUAGCCUCCAGAAAAGAAAAAGAAAACAAGGAUGAAAUUGUCAGAGACUCCAGUCAGCCAAGUCAUAGACCGUUUUCUCUGCUACCACAUGGCAAGUGGUACCGGAGCGUCAAGUCUAGGACCAAAAGGCUCCUUAACAGCUUCUACCCCCAAGUCAUAAAACUGCUGAACAAUUUAUCAAAUGGCCACCGGACUAUUUACCUAAUUUAGUGUUUUGUACACUGCUGCUACUCGCUGUUUAUCAUCUAUGCAUAGUCACUUCACCCCUACCUACAUGUAAAAAUUACCUCUAACCUGUAACCCUGCACACUGACUCAGUACCGAUGGUCUCCGCUUUCUCUGGGGCAACCCAAAGGGCUCAACCCAUGAUCCUCCAUCUUGCAGCAACGAUACCAAAGCAGUUCUCUGAAACUCUUCUGGCUCUUGAGUGGAAGCAGUUGUAGAUCUUCUUGGCUUCUUCAAGGCCAGACAAACCAUUGACUAAAAUAAGUGUUUAAAUUACUAUUGAACAGGAACAUAUAGGCUAUCAAAUAUGAGAAAAUCUGCAAGGAAGAAUGUGAGAAAAUCCCCAAAUCCAGAUAUGCAAAGCUGGAUUUGGGGUUUUUCUCACAUUCUUGACCCAAGAUGACUCAAAUCUGUCAUCACCGCCAAAGAAGACUUGAGAUGUUUCUGAAUUUAAUUUUCAAUGAAUUUGCACAAAUUGUGAGUUAAAACAUUUUUUUAAUCCAUUUUGAAUUCAGACUGUAACAACAAAAUACGUUUUUUUUUGCCCCCUUUUUCUCCCCAAUUUCAUGGUAUCCAAUUGUUGUCUCAUCGCUACACGUACGGGCUUGGGAGAGGCGAAGGUUGAAAGUCAUGCGUCCUCCGAUACACAACCCAACCAACCACUGCUUCUUAACACAGCACACUUUUUGAAGGCACUGUAUGUUGCAUCACUUCUUCAUUGGUAUUGCUGUCACAGAAAUGCAGUGCUCUGAAAUGAACCGAUGGGAAUUUUUAUGUGAGCAGAUAGUUAACAGAACACCCUCUACUUGGUGCUACAUUUGAAUAAUUGCUCAAAGACAAAACCACUGACUUUUAUAGCCAGACACAUGGUUAUAAGCUUUUAUUUUGCUUGUCAGGGAGAUUUAUUUUGGUCAUUCAUUGUGACAGACAUUUUGAGUCCUCCUAAAUCAUUGAGGACCUUAGAUAUCAAGCUUUAAAUUAUUUAUACAUUUUUAUAUGUGAUUAAUGGUGUCAAUUACGGCACUAUUCAGUAUACAGAGAUUAGAUUUUUUUUUUUGCAUCCAAUUACAUUCUGCUCUUAGUUCUAGUUCUAGUUCUAUGGCUAUGGCUAGGGUUCCAAAAUUGUUAUUCGGCUGUCCCAAAAGGAGAACCCUUUUUGGUUCCAGGUAGAAAGAACCCAUUUAGGUUCGAGAUGCACACACGUUCCUUUUUAAUUUAAUAGACAAUUAUUCCUACAGAUUUGCAGUCCCUACAGUUGUGUAUUGCUCAUUCAAUGAUCAAACCCCAACUGUGGUAUUAUUAGCUGUCUGUUCUAACCAACUGAGCUAACUCGCCCCCAAGCAAGUGUAAAAACCUGGAGGACAGAACAACUAAGUCUAAAGAAGAGCAAAGGUCAGUGAAGCCCAGCAGAGCUGCAGAGGCCGAGGGCCAGUACAUAUCAAGUGAAUUAAAACUGAUGUGUGACCUUCACAAAAACACAUCAGAGCACAACAGUAAAGGAGAGCUCUAAUCCCCCAGGUAUCCCCUGGGUAGCCUAGCUACUGUGGCAGCAGGCAAAAAGGGCCAAUGUGAAUUUUAAGAACAGUCAAAUCAAUAGUCAAAUCAUGACUUAAUUCUCACUUCCGAGGGCAUAAACCAGAGUACAAUAAUGUAGUAUUUAAGGUAAAAAAAAGAAACAGGCACAAGAACACAAGUCAGUCAGCUAGAUAAGCAAAACGGGUUGAGUGAAGACGCUGAACAUCUUUUGAGGGCCUCCUUAAUAAUAUUUGCUGGAGUACAUUGAGACUUCCUAAACUAGAAGUAACACACACGUGCAUUUAACAAAGGAGAACAGGUAUCAGGGGAGCAGAAAGCAGGUGGGCAUAACAUAGGCUUAGUGUACUUUAUUGCCCAACAACAACC
rnacentral:lncRNA from 1 species